rnacentral:rRNA from 1 species
UUUGAUCCUGGCUCAGAUUGAACGCUGGCGGCAGGCCUAACACAUGCAAGUCGAACGGUAGCACAGAGAGCUUGCUCUCGGGUGACGAGUGGCGGAGGGGUGAGUAAUGUGUGGGAAACUGCCCGAUGGAGGGGGAUAACUACUGGAAACGGUAGCUAAUACCGCAUAACGUCGCAAGACCAAAGUGGGGGACCUUCGGGCCUCACACCAUCGGAUGUGCCCAGAUGGGAUUAGCUACUAGUUGGGGUAAUGGCUCACCUUGGCGACGAUCCCUAGCUGGUCUGAGAGGAUGACCAGCCACACUGGAACUGAGACACGGUCCAGACUCCUACGGGAGGCAGCAGUGGGGAAUAUUGCACAAUGGGCGCAAGCCUGAUGCAGCCAUGCCGCGUGUAUGAAGAAGGCCUUCGGGUUGUAAAGUACUUUCAGCGGGGAGGAAGGCGGUGAAGUUAAUAGCUUCACCGAUUGACGUUACCCGCAGAAGAAGCACCGGCUAACUCCGUGCCAGCAGCCGCGGUAAUACGGAGGGUGCAAGCGUUAAUCGGAAAUACUGGGCGUAAAGCGCACGCAGGCGGUCUGUCAAGUCGGAUGUGAAAUCCCCGGGCUUAACCUGGGAACUGCAUUCGAAACUGGCAGGCUGGAGUCUUGU